rnacentral:lncRNA from 1 species
CUCCCUGCCACCUCCACAUCUCCCAGUCAGCCUCUUGUUGGCACACUGAAUCACUCUGGGGCCAACUCUCACUCUAUUACCCAGGCUGGAGUGCGGUGGCAUGAUCUCGGCUCACUGCAAACUCUGCCUCCCCAGUUCAAAUGAUUCUUCUGCCUUCUGCCUCAGCCUCCCAAAUAGCUGGAACUACAGCAAGGCCAACUUUUCUACCAGAUAACCCUGACCUCAUCCUGUCAGAAUUGAAUGGACCAAGAAUUGAGCUACCCUAAAAGGCCAGUUUUCUGGAAAUAGUUUGAAGAUACCGACUCAUGGUUAAAUGUUUCACAUUUACCCUCAGAAAUGAGUGCUACUGUUCAGAAACGGAGGUGCCCACUUUGCUUGUGGGAUUUAGGAGGAAAUGCCACACACUGUCAUAGAAAAAAUGGCGUCUCACUCUAUUGCCCAGGCUAGAGUACAAUAGUGCAAUCUUGGCUCACUGCAACCUCCCCCUCCCAGGUUCAAGCCAUUCUCCUGCCUCAGCCUCCCGAGUAGCUAGAACUACAAGCACGUGCACUGUACCCAGCUAAUUUUUUGUAUUUUUAGCAGAGACGGGGUUUCUCCAUGUUGGCCAGGCUGGUCUCGAACUCCUGACCUCAGGUAAUCCACCGCCUCAUCCUCCCAAAAUGCAUUAUCUCUUCCCAAAAUGCAUUAUCUAUUUCAUUAAGAAAAAGGAGAAAGCAACCAUGCUAAGCUUCAAAUAAAAGCAUGUGAGCACACCUGAUGACGCUAGACCCACUGGAAUCUCGCAUAACUCAUCCUGAACGUGUUGGGAAUCAAGUCUCUCAGGAUUAGCCCUGGUAAUCUGAAAGUCACCAGUCAUCAAGAAGUGGCAUCUCUACCAUGUGGUGCAAUCAUAGCCCUGAACUCAAAUUUCUGUCUGAUAUAUUUGAUGUGAUCCCUCCUUUUAUACCCUUUUAACUUCUGCUUGGAGAGACCCACUGACCUUGUAGCUGACUGUCAGAACUUUUCCUUGCCAG